rnacentral:rRNA from 1 species
GUUGUAUAGUUAAGUGACUAAGCGUACAAGGUGGAUGCCUUGGCAAUCAGAGGCGAAGAAGGACGUGCUAAUCUGCGAAAAGCUUGGAUGAGUCGAUAAGAGGCGCUUAAUCCAAGAUAUCCGAAUGGGGAAACCCAGUAGAUGAAGAAUCUACUAUCAACAAGUGAAUUCAUAGCUUGUUGAGGCAAACCGGGAGAACUGAAACAUCUAAGUACCCCGAGGAAAAGAAAUCAACCGAGAUUUCGUCAGUAGCGGCGAGCGAAAGCGAAAGAGCCAGUAAGUGAUAGCAGUAUAGUGAGGAGAAUGUGUUGGGAAGCACAAUCAAAGAGGGUGAUAAUCCCGUAUCUAAAAACCAUAUUGUGGUACUAAGCUAACGAGAAGUAGGGCGGGACACGUGAUAUCCUGUUUGAAGAAGGGGGGACCAUCCUCCAAGGCUAAAUACUCCUGAUUGACCGAUAGUGAACCAGUACUGUGAAGGAAAGGCGAAAAGAACCCCGGUGAGGGGAGUGAAAUAGAACCUGAAACCUUGUACGUACAAGCAGUGGGAGCCCCAUCACUUAAUCCGAUUGGAAGGUGAUGAAAAGCAACCGCACUUAAACAAUGGUAAGAGGAGCGAAGCGAGUCAAACCACCCAAAAGAAGCAGUGGGAUUAAGUGAUGGGGUGACUGCGUACCUUUUGUAUAAUGGGUCAGCGACUUAUAUUUUGUAGCGAGGUUAACUGAAUAGGGGAGCCGAAGGGAAACCGAGUCUUAACUGGGCGAGUAGUUGCAAGGUAUAGACCCGAAACCCGGUGAUCUAGCCAUGGGCAGGUUGAAGGUUGGGUAACACUAACUGGAGGACCGAACCGACUAAUGUUGAAAAAUUAGCGGAUGACUUGUGGCUGGGGGUGAAAGGCCAAUCAAACCGGGAGAUAGCUGGUUCUCCCCGAAAUCUAUUUAGGUAGAGCCUUGAGGUGACACCUUUGGGGGUAGAGCACUGUUUCGGCUAGGGGGCCAUCCCGGCUUACCAACCCGAUGCAAACUACGAAUACCAAAGAGUGAUACUCAGGAGACACACGGCGGGUGCUAACGUCCGUCGUGGAGAGGGAAACAACCCAGACCGCCAGCUAAGGUCCCCAAGUCUAUAUUAAGUGGGAAACGAAGUGGGAAGGCUUAGACAGCUAGGAUGUUGGCUUAGAAGCAGCCAUCAUUUAAAGAAAGCGUAAUAGCUCACUAGUCGAGUCGGCCUGCGCGGAAGAUGUAACGGGGCUGAAAUAUAGCACCGAAGCUGCGGCAUCAG